rnacentral:misc_RNA from 1 species
UCCGAGUUGACCCCGGCAGUCUCCUACGAGUCCCCGGCAUUACCCGCUGGCAACAUAGGACAAGGGUUGCGCUCGUUGCGGGACUUAACCCAACAUCUCACGACACGAGCUGACGACAGCCAUGCAGCACCUGUGUUCAGGCUCCCUUUCGGGCACUCCUCCGUUUCUGGAGGAUUCCUGACAUGUCAAGGGUAGGUAAGGUUUUUCGCGUUGCAUCGAAUUAAACCACAUCAUCCACCGCUUGUGCGGGCCCCCGUCAAUUCCUUUGAGUUUCAGCCUUGCGGCCGUACUCCCCAGGCGGGGUGCUUAAUGCGUUAGCUGCGGCACCGAGGGGGUCGCUCCCCCCGACGCCUAGCACCCAUCGUUUACGGCGUGGACUAC